rnacentral:rRNA from 1 species
AACGCUAGCUACAGGCUUAACACAUGCAAGUCGAGGGGUAACGAAAGGGAAGCUUGCUUUCCUUGUCGACGACCGGCGCACGGGUGAGUAACGCGUAUCCAACCUGCCCACAACUAAGGAAUAACCUUGCGAAAGUAAGACUAAUACCUUAUAAUUUCCUCUGAAGGCAUCGGACGAGGAAUAAAGAUUUAUCGGUUAUGGAUGGGGAUGCGUCUGAUUAGCUUGUUGGCGGGGUAACGGCCCACCAAGGCAACGAUCAGUAGGGGUUCUGAGAGGAAGGUCCCCCACAUUGGAACUGAGACACGGUCCAAACUCCUACGGGAGGCAGCAGUGAGGAAUAUUGGUCAAUGGGCGAGAGCCUGAACCAGCCAAGUAGCGUGCAGGAAGACGGCCCUAUGGGUUGUAAACUGCUUUUAUAAGGGAAUAAAGUGAGUCUCGUGAGACUUUUUGCAUGUACCUUAUGAAUAAGGACCGGCUAAUUCCGUGCCAGCAGCCGCGGUAAUACGGAAGGUCCGGGCGUUAUCCGGAUUUAUUGGGUUUAAAGGGAGCGUAGGCCGGAGAUUAAGCGUGUUGUGAAAUGUAGACGCUCAACGUCUGCACUGCAGCGCGAACUGGUUUCCUUGAGUACGCACAAAGUGGGCGGAAUUCGUGGUGUAGCGGUGAAAUGCUUAGAUAUCACGAAGAACUCCGAUUG